AGCGAACGCUGGCGGCAUGCUUAGCACAUGCAAGUCGCACGGGCAGCAAUGUCAGUGGCGGACGGGUGAGUAACGCGUAGGAACGUGUCCUGAGGUGGGGGACAACCCCGGGAAACUGGGGCUAAUACCGCAUAUGGGCUGAGGCCCAAAGCCGAGAGGCGCCUUUGGAGCGGCCUGCGUCCGAUUAGGUAGUUGGUGGGGUAAAGGCCUACCAAGCCUGCGAUCGGUAGCUGGUCUGAGAGGACGACCAGCCACACUGGGACUGAGACACGGCCCAGACUCCUACGGGAGGCAGCAGUGGGGAAUAUUGGACAAUGGGCGAAAGCCUGAUCCAGCAAUGCCGCGUGGGUGAAGAAGGUCUUCGGAUCGUAAAGCCCUUUCGACGGGGACGAUGAUGACGGUACCCGUAGAAGAAGCCCCGGCUAACUUCGUG
rnacentral:rRNA from 1 species